rnacentral:rRNA from 1 species
UACGUAGGUGGCAAGCGUUGUCCGGAUUUAUUGGGUUUAAAGGGUGCGUAGGCGGUCUUAUAAGUCAGUGCUGAAAUAUCCCGGCUUAACCGGGAGGGUGGCAUUGAUACUGCAGGACUUGAGUAUAGUCGAGGUAGGCGGAAUUGACGGUGUAGCGGUGAAAUGCUUAGAUAUCGUCAAGAACACCGAUAGUGUAGACAGUUUACUAGGCUAUAACUGACGCUGAGGCACGAAAGUGUGGGGAGUCAAACAGG